rnacentral:rRNA from 1 species
GACGAACGCUGGCGGCGUGCUUAACACAUGCAAGUCGAACGGAAAGGCCCUGCUUUUGUGGGGUGCUCGAGUGGCGAACGGGUGAGUAACACGUGAGUAACCUGCCCUUGACUUUGGGAUAACUUCAGGAAACUGGGGCUCAUACCGGAUAGGAGCUCUUGCUGCAUGGUGGGGGUUGGAAAGUUUCGGCGGUUGGGGAUGGACUCGCGGCUUAUCAGCUGGUUGGUGGGGUAGUGGCUUACCAAGCCUUUGACGGGUAGCCGGCCUGAGAGGGUGACCGGCCACAUUGGGACUGAGAUACGGCCCAGACUCCAACGGGAGGCAGCAGUGGGGAAUAUUGCACAAUGGGCGGAAGCCUGAUGCAGCAACGCCGCGUGCGGGAUGACGGCUUUCGGGUUGUAAACCGCUUUCGCCUGUGACGAAGCGGGAGUGACGGUAAUGGGUAAAGAAGCACCGGCUAACUACGUG